ACACCCAUAGGCGCAUCUCCUCUCCUGAUUGUGGGCCUCAGUUCAGACACACUUCUCUGUAAAAUCUGUUUCUGCAUCUUCCAUGUUGUGGGAACUCUCUUCCACAUUACCUAUUCUCCUGUGUGAUCUCUCUUCCCCAUCCCCCAUCUAUCUGCAGGAUCUCUCUUCCCCAUCCCCCUUUCUCCUGAGGGAUCUCUCAUCCUUAUCCCCUUUCCUCCUGUGGGAUCUCUCUUCCCCAUCCACCUUUCUCCUGAGGAUUCUUUCUUCCCCGUGCCACAUCCGACCCUGUCACAUCAGAAACAUUUUUCUAACAAUCGGGACAUGAGACAGAAUAUGACUUUGCUCACUACCAAAUACCUAGACACCAUGGGCGCAUCUCCCACCCCUCCCGUACAAUCUAUUUCUGCAUCCCCUGGACCUGUAGUGAUGGAAGCAGAGUAUGCCCACACAUCGGUGAAUCCUGCAACUAUGUGCUCCUCCGGCUUGAAGAGGAGAAGCCGAUGUUCCCCCCAAGAGGGCAGAGAAUGUAGAUGCGGGGUAUUCCUAGCAAGAGGUGGGAAUCCGGAUGGAGGUUCGGUGAACACCCCACCCCCCCGAGGAAUCUCUCAUCCCCAUCCCCAUCCCCAUUCCUUUCUUUGGUUUCACUCUUCACUAUUCCCCUUCCUCUUGGUGUACCGCUGAUCCCCCAUUGACCUUCCUGCUGCAGGUGCUUUUGCUCGUUUGGGGUCCCUUUGACACUUUCUCAUUUACAAAUUUUCCUCACUGUGGGACUUUCUCCCAUCCUCUCACGUCAGGAACUCUCCUAACCAGUGGGGAGUGGGACAGAAUAUAUGGUCACACCGACAGACUAAAUUACCUCCAUUCAUGAAUACUCUGUGAGGGAAAUUGACAGUCAUGGGAACUUCGAUCAGUGAUUUACUGACCCACGUUUUGAAACAAUUUGUUCAUCAAUUUGUCUGUUUGUGUUUAGGCUUGGGCGGAAUGAACUCGGAGAUCCAGGAGUGAAACUGGUGUCUGCAGCUCUGAGGAACCCGGAAUGUAAAAUACAGAAACUGGGGCUGAGGGAUGUCGGUCUCUCAGAUUCUGGUGUCGAGGAUCUCGCCUCCGCUCUCAGUACAAACUCCUCACUAACAAAGCUGAACCUGGGAUUAAACUGGCUGACAGACCGAUCUGUCCCCGCUCUCCGCCGCCUCAUACAGACCCUCCCGAGUCUGGAGUGGAUCGGACUGUGGAAAAAUGAUUUCAGUUGUACUGGGAAGAAAGAACUGGAAUCUCUGCUGGAACGCAGACCCGGACUGAGAGUGAAUCUAUGAACAUCUGUAUGUGUGAACAUCCCCUUCAGCGGGAUGGGGACAUUCUGCCCGAUUCCCGGCUCUCCCUUUUAAAUCCCGCCCUUACCUUUAGCGACCAUGCGCCAGGUUUAAUUCCCGCAGACAGGAAGAGCCCGGGAGAGAGUCCAGGAGAGAAUCCUUUUGCUCCCUUUGCUGAGGACGGUGUAUUCGGCGGUCUGGCUGAUAUAAUGAAGUUAAAUUGAUAAAUACCUUGGACGUGACCCUGGAUCUGCAGCGAUCCCAGACACGGCCCUGAAAUGUGAUUUUAAUGAUUAUCGGUUCCCUGAUGUAGAGCGAUGGUGAGAUUAUUCAAUCUGUCACUUGUUGUUGCCGGUCAAUUAAUUGUGUGUGACUGUAAGUGAGUCGAGAACAGCUUAUUUAUACCCGUGUUAGCAGCUCACAAGUUGUUUAAUUUAAAUUUGUCAUGAUAAAAUCAAUAAACCGCUGUAACUUACUGUUA